AACGAACGCUGGCGGCAUGCCUAACACAUGCAAGUCGAACGAAACCUUCGGGUCUAGUGGCGCCCGGCUGCGUCACGCGUGGGAACCUGCCCUUAGGUUCGGAAUACCUCCCCGAAAGGGGUGCUAAUACCGGAUAAUGUCUUCUAACCAAUGAUUUAUCGCCUUUGGAUGGGCCCGCGUUGGAUUAGCUAGUUGGUAGGGUAAGAGCCUACUAAGGGGACGAUCCAUAGCUGGUCAGAGAGGAUGGUCAGCCACACUGGGAGUAGGACACGGCCGAGACUCCUACGGGAUGGAGCAAUGGGGGAUAGUGGACAAUGGGCGGAAGCCUGAACCAGCAAGGACGGGAGAGUGAUGAAGGCCUUAGGGUUGAAAAGCGCUUUUACCCGGGAUGAUAAUGACAGUACCGGGAGAAUAAGCCCCGGCUAACUCCGUG
rnacentral:rRNA from 1 species